UACAUGUGGGGCAAGCGUUGUUCGGAAUUACUGGGCGUAAAGGGUGCGUAGGUGGCUUGUUAAGUCAGGGGUGAAAGUUUUCGGCCCAACCGGAAAAUGGCCUUUGAUACUGGCGAGCUCGAGUGCGUGAGGGGUAACCGGAACGAGCAGUGUAGCGGUGAAAUGCGUAGAUAUUGCUCGGAAGGCCAACGGCGAAGGCAGGUUACUGGUGCGCAACUGACACUGAGGCACGAAAGCUGGGGGAGCAAACAGG
rnacentral:rRNA from 1 species